rnacentral:pre_miRNA from 1 species
CUACUACUCCCUCCGUUCCAAAAUAGAUGACCCAACUUUAUAUUAAAGUUGGGUUUAAUAUAAAGUUGGGUCAUCUAUUUUGGAACGGAGGGAGUAUAUA